rnacentral:rRNA from 1 species
CGGUGACAAACCGGAGGAAGGUGGGGAUGACGUCAAAUCAUCAUGCCCCUUAUGACCUGGGCUACACACGUGCUACAAUGGACAGAACAAAGGGCAGCGAAACCGCGAGGUUAAGCCAAUCCCACAAAUCUGUUCUCAGUUCGGAUCGCAGUCUGCAACUCGACUGCGUGAAGCUGGAAUCGCUAGUAAUCGCGGAUCAGCAUGCCGCGGUGAAUACGUUCCCGGGCCUUGUACACACCGCCCGUCACACCACGAGAGUUUGUAACACCCGAAGUCGGUGAGGUAACCUUUUAGGAGCCAGCCGCCGAAGGUGGGACAGAUGAUUGGGGUGAAGUCGUAACAAGGUAGCCGUAUCGGAAGGUGCGGCUGGAUCA